UUAAGUACUUAAGGUACGGAGCCGAAGGGAAACCGAGUCUGAAUAGGGCGACUAGUUGCAUGCCGUAGACCCGAAACCGGGUGACCUAUCCAUGGCCAGGUUGAAGCGAGGGUAAAACCUCGUGGAGGACCGAACCACGUUGCUGUUGAAAAAAGCAUGGGAUGAGCUGUGGAUAGCGGAGAAAAUUCCAAUCGAACCCGGAGAUAGCUGGUUCUCUCCGAAAUAGCUUUAGGGCUAGCGUCGAGUAUGAGUAGUGGAGGUAGCACUGAAUGGGCUAGGGGGCAUAGCGCUUACCGAACCUUAUCAAACUCCGAAUGCCACAUACUUUGAGCUCGGCAGUCAGACUACGAAUGAUAAGAUCCGUGGUCAAAAGGGAAACAGCCCAGAUCGUCAGCUAAGGUCCCAAAGUGUAAGUUAAGUGGGAAAGGAUGUGAGAUUCUAAGACAACUAGGGAUGUUGGCUUAGAAGCAGCCAUUCAUUAAAAGAGUGCGUAAUAGCUCACUAGUCGAGAGAUCUUGCGCCGAAAAUGUAACGGGGCUAAACUUACCACCGAAGCUACGGGCUUGAACUUAGUUCAAGCGGUAGGAGAGCGUCGUAACCGGGCUGAAGUCGUACCGUAAGGAGCGGUGGACUGGUUACGAGUGAGAAUGUUGGCAUCAGUAGCGAGAUGUGGGUGAGAAUCCCACAGGCCGAAAACCUAAGGUUUCCUCAGGAAGGUUCGUCCGCUGAGGGUUAGUCGGGACCUAAGCCGAGGCCGAAAGGCGUAGGUGAUGGACAACUGGUUGAUAUUCCAGUACCACUACCAUCGUUAUUAUCGAUGGCGUGACGCAGGAGGAUAGUGUGUGCUAGCUAUUGGAUGCUAGUCUAAGCGUUUAGGCAGUGAGAGUAGGCAAAUCCGCUCUCAUAAUGCUGAGGCGUGAUGGGGAAGGUUCUACGGAACUGAAGUACAUGAUUCCACGCUGCCAAGAAAAGCGUCUAGAGAGAGAAGUAGUGCCCGUACCGCAAACCGACACAGGUAGGUGAGGAGAGAAUCCUAAGGCCGGCGGAAGAAUUACAGUUAAGGAACUCGGCAAAUUGACCCCGUAAGUUCGCGAGAAGGGGUGCCUACGAGAGUAGGCCGCAGAGAAUAGGCCCAAGCAACUGUUUAGCAAAAACACAGGUCUCUGCUAAAGCGUAAGCUGAUGUAUAGGGGCUGACGCCUGCCCGGUGCUGGAAGGUUAAGGGGAACACUUAGCGCAAGCGAAGGUGUGAACUUAAGCCCCAGUAAACGGCGGCCGUAACUAUAACGGUCCUAAGGUAGCGAAAUUCCUUGUCAGGUAAGUUCUGACCCGCACGAAUGGCGUAAUGACUUGGGCACUGUCUCAACUGUAAAUCCGGCGAAGUUGUAGUGCGAGUGAAGAUGCUCGCUACCCGCGAUUGGACGGAAAGACCCCGUAGAGCUUUACUGUAGCUUAGCAUUGAGUUUUGGUAUUGUCUGUACAGGAUAGGUGGGAGACUAGGAAACCAGGGCGUCAGCCUUGGUGGAGUCAACCUUGGGAUACCACCCUGACAGUACUGAAAUUCUAACUGGCGGCCAUGAAUCUGGUCACAGGACAUUGUUAGGUGGGCAGUUUGACUGGGGCGGUCGCCUCCUAAAAAGUAACGGAGGCGCCCAAAGGUUCCCUCAGAACGGUCGGAAAUCGUUCGAAGAGUGCAAAGGCAGAAGGGAGCCUGACUGCGACACCCACAAGUGGAGCAGGGACGAAAGUCGGGCUUAGUGAUCCGGUGGUACCUCGUGGGAGGGCCAUCGCUCAACGGAUAAAAGCUACCUCGGGGAUAACAGGCUGAUCUCCCCCAAGAGUCCACAUCGACGGGGAGGUUUGGCACCUCGAUGUCGGCUCGUCGCAUCCUGGGGCUGAAGUAGGUCCCAAGGGUUGGGCUGUUCGCCCAUUAAAGCGGCACGCGAGCUGGGUUCAGAACGUCGUGAGACAGUUCGGUCCCUAUCCGUCGCGGGCGUAGGAAAUUUGAGAGGAGCUGUCCUUAGUACGAGAGGACCGGGAUGGACUGACCUCUGGUGUACCAGUUGUUCCGCCAGGAGCACAGCUGGGUAGCUAAGUCGGGAAUGGAUAAACGCUGAAAGCAUCUAAGCGUGAAGCCAACCUCAAGAUGAGAUUUCCCAUAGCGUAAGCUAGUAAGAUCCCUUGAAGAACACAAGGUUGAUAGGUCGGGGGUGUAAGCAUGGUAACAUGUUCAGCUGACCGAUACUAAUAGAUCGAGGGCUUGACCAA
rnacentral:rRNA from 1 species